GUUUCACCCUGAGGCCGCAGGCUUAGUCACAGCAAACAGAGACCGCGCUAAGGUCAAGAAAACAAGGAAGGAGGCAGCACAGCUGAGGUGGAGAAGGAUAGCUGGACGCCACGGCGGAGGUGUGGGCUGGGCUGCUCGGGGCGCUGGGUCCUGGGUCUGCCGCACAGCCUGCCCCGGGGCCAAGGCCGGCCUGCGGGUCCGGGCAGGGCUCCAGCGGUGCCAGGCCGCCAGCAGGGGCGCGGCGCCAACCCCGGGGGCUCGGUUGCUUCAGCACGUAAGAGGCUCCCCGGGGCCGGGGCGCGCGGGGGGGGUGCGGGUACAAGCAGGCUGCGACAGGAGUGAGGAGCGCCUGGCUCGGGGACUUGCAGCCUGGGACUCCCGGGGAUGCCCAAGGCACCUGCACGCCACCCACGGGCAGAGCGGCCCCCAGGGAAACUUUCUCCCGCGCGGGUAGCGGGGCUCAGCUCCCUCACAUGCGUGUGUUGUGCAUUCGCUGAGUCCCCAGCGCCGGACUCGGCAUGUGGAAAUCAGAUGCGGCCGCCCGCAGCGGGCUCAGCCAGCCAGGGCCCCCCAGGGGCCCCGUCCCGGGACCUGCCACGCCUGGGUCUGCCAGGCGCUCAGUGAGCCUGAGCUGGUUGCCUGUCGAUUGAGCUGGUGAUUGCAUGGGGCCCCCGGGUGUUCCAGUUCACAGAGCCGAGAGCCCGGCUGCAGGGAGGGCUGGGAGACUGGAGGCACCCGGCUGGAGCCCCGGGGGAAGGGCCUGGGCGUGGCACGCAGCCCUCCACCCCUGCCUGCUAGCUUGGCCUUGGCAUCAGGCGAGGCCGGGUCAGCGCAGAGGUGGCAACAGGCCCCACAGCAGGAUUCCCCUUUCUCAGAAGUUUCAUCCACCACCCGGGGCUUACCAGGCACUCGCCACACCCGCUAUCAAAAACUUGAGGAUAGCAGCUUCCUUUUACUGAUUAAGAUGCUCAGUUAAACAGCUCGCUGAAGGUCACCCACACACCCUCGAGAAGCUGAGCUGCCCUUAAGCUCAGGCCUGCCUGUCUGGAAAGACUGAGCUCUGAUGGUUCGCCAUCGCAGAGGAGCGUGCCUGAAAUACAGGGCAUGAAGAAAAAAUUGAAUGGCAUUAGGAAGAAGUAAACAGACAGAUCUCAAGCACGGGGCUUCCUUUAGGACCCUGGUUACUCCACAGAGCAGUGACGUGAACCCGUAAAGGUGGAGGAAGGAGGACCGCUUUGUCUAGGAGAACACUCACCCCAACACACUGCGUCACUGUAUUUGGAUCCUGACUCAAACCAGCAAAUCCGUACAAGCAGACACUGUGAAACUGCUGGAGGGACUUACCCUUUAUGGAAUCGUUCCUUUGGUUAGGUAUGGUGCUGCGAGGGUAAGAAAAUGUUCCUAUAUUUCAGACUAAAGACUGUAGGAAGGAGAUGAGGGGGUCACUGGGACUUGUUUUAAAAAUGCUUCAGAAAAAAUAGUACAGAUGAAACUACAGUGUCAAAGGUUGCUGACUGUAGAACCUGGACUAAUAUCUAUUUAUAUACAUAUAUUUCACUUUUCAUUUAGAAACGCUACAAAGAGACGCGGUUCACGGCCCCCAGUAUCGGGGUUGGACACUGCUGAGAGGUCUGACCUGGGCACUCAGCUCUGCCCGCUCCUCGCCCAGCUCCUCCCACCACAGUACUCAGUGGGAAGCCGAAAUGCAAUGCGUUGUCCCCAAGGGGAGUCUGCCUGGCCUGGCACAGGUGGCCUCUCUGACUCGGUGCUUGUCCCAAAGCCCUGAAGGAAGGCAGGCAGGAAGACACGUCGAAAGAGAAAUGGCGGAGUGAGCCGCCCGUCAGGUCGAAGGAAGAGAGACGCUGCGGGAGAGGCGGAAGGCUCGGGCCCUCAGACGGCGGCUCCACCGGAGCCUGGUGGGAAACCUGCUUCUCCCACCUGGUUAUCGCGGCCUCCACCCAGCUGAUACAGAGGAGAGUCGACUGAACCAGAGGCACACUGCGGUAAUUUCCAAGUAGAAGAGACCGACACAGCCAUUUCCCGUGCAGAUAAAGAUAUUCAAGGCGAUAAAGCAUAGUUUUCCAACUACCUGACUAAGCAGGUCACCAGGACACCCUGCCCUCCACUAGGGAUCAAACCCAAGCUUCCCUCAUGCCGUGCCGGGGUGCCUGACAGCUGAGCCACACCCGCAGCCCUACGAUCAUGAAUGUGUUGAUUAGCAUCCUGACCACAGUGCUUUGAACCAGGAGCAGCUCCUUCAAGCUUUUUUGUUUGUUUGUUUGUUUGUUUUUGAGACAGGGUCUUGCUAUGUAGACCAGGCU